UCUCCUGACCUCGUGAUCCGCCCGUCUCGGCCUCCCAAAGUGCUGGGAUUACAGGCUUGAGCCACCACGCCCAGCUCUCAAUUUAUUUUUUUAUAUUUGGUCUUUAAAGGGUAAGCUUUGAUUAUCUGAAAAAGUAAAAUAUGAGGACUACCUCACUACCUGGGGCUGGAUAAGUGACGUGCCCCGUUAAGUCAUGGGCCUUGCUAAAUGGGGUGUCCUAAUGCACAAUACAGCACCAGGGUGGCCUGGAGGGACGAUAACCACCCCAGGAUUUUCUGUGCACUCUUUUACUCCAAGAAAUUUUGAGUUUUACACAGAAAACUUCCCAAGAGGUACUCAAAGAAGGAAGAAAGUCAGCUGCUGGUUUCCUUACUUCUGACAUUAAAAACCACUCAGGGAACUUGACACCUCUGGCUGCUUCACCUUUAUUUUUUGUUUAAACAUCUUGAGAAUUAAAUUCUUUGUUAGAAUGCAGAAGAAAGUCUCCUUUCCCAUUCCCUCUAGAGAUAAGACCCAAUAAAAGAUUUUGGUGAAGUUCUUCUUAUUUUUCCCAUGCACAAGUGCACAGGUGCAAACGCACAUGUACCAAUGCACACUUUGUCUUGUCUUUCUUGUCCCUGUCUUUGUUCCUGAACUCAAGGACGGCUCCUGCGGCAACAGAAGACUGUUCCCACCUGCUGUCACUCUGAUUUGAUUAUAUGUUAAACCCAAACUGGUGUGUGUGAGGCAGCUUCCCGGGACGCUGUCAUAUCUUCCCAGCUGAGCCCCAGCCAGACCCUGGAAAGGAGACUUUCCACCCUGGUGAAGGGUCUGAUGGGGAAUAUAUAAAGGAGGUGGUGCCUGGGGGCUUUUUCCUAAGUCAGCAGGAAGCAGGCUGAUGUCCCAGACUGCUGAAAGGAGGCCCCAUCUUUCAGGUGGGCUGGAAAGUAGACGUCCUAAAGGCCUCUUUCCCCAAAGCUCCAAGCCCUGGCCCACUUCCAAUGUGGAUAAUUACAUUCCCCUUCCCUAAAUACUCCCUGCAGCUUAAACUGGAUGCAGGAUUCUUCUUUUCUGCCCUAAAACACUGCAACAUUGCUAUGUGGCUAUUAAACAGCUGCCAUGUCCCAUCCCAGAGGAGGCCAAAGGGAAUCGAGUGGGUCAUUUAUAAAGCCAGUGAAGUGCUUGGGGAUGAAAGUGCUCAAUAUCCUCCAAAUGCAGCCUCGGGUGGUUAGGCUGGCGGUCAAAUACCAAAGCAGAUUAAGUCGGUAAUCCGAAUGUAAUCGCUGGGGGAUGGCCUGCCCUUCAGCCUCAGCCCCCUUGGACAUGCUGUGUUCUUCUCAGGCUGGUUUGAUGUUCCGAUCAUUGUUAUGGGGCCUUCAGGUUUUUCCUCUAUGAAUACAUGCAGCAAUCAUUGUGGGGGGUGGGAAUGAAUAGCACUGAGAGGGUAGGAAAAAAAAUAGGACACUAACAUGCUUAUUAACACCAACUGGAGGAACUCUGUCUCAGACUGACGCACACCUAUUGGCAAUUCUUCGUCUGUAAAUUACUUUGAGUUUUUCUAACAGAAAACCGGUUUGGCUAAUUUUCAAAUUUGUAUACUUAGCUAGAAAAAUGGAAACUAUUCCUAUUUAUUGCCACAAAAACCAUGUCCCUAUUUUGCUUCAUAGAAUGCACAAGCAAAAGCCAGCUCAAGCCCUGGGAUUAUUUAUACUUAAAAAUUAAUAAUGAAUAGUAUUUUGCCAGGGCAGCUGGGGUGGUGGGCAGGAAGAAAAGAAAGAAAAAGAUCUGCUGUUCUAGAGCUGGGCCCAGUGGCUCAAGUGAGAUCUUCCUGCCUGCCCAUCAGUCCACACUCAGGCCUUUCUGGGCAAAGAAAAACACAGUAAGAAGAAAAGAAAGUUGGAUUUAAGUAUUCUCAACUCUCAGCACUAUGUUGUUGAGGACUAAAGCAUGGACUCUUAAUUGGACAGAACUAGGCUUAAAUCCUGGCUUAGAAACUAGCUACAUAAUUCUCAACAAGGUGCUUAACCUCUUUGAGCUUCCAUUUUUUCCAAAUGUAAAAUGGAGACAAGAGUAUCUACCUCAUAGGGCUUUAAUGAGGAGGAGUAAAUGAGGUAAUUCACAUGGAGCACUUAGCAUGGUGCCCAGUAAGAGUCAUGAUAUUAAUAUCAUUAUUAGGUCAACUUUAGCCAAACAGUGUUCUCCUGUGAACAGUCUUCUCCUCCAUUUCCGCUUUUAAGAAAGAAGAGUUUGGAAGCCACGGUCUGUUCCCCACCUGCCACCAGGAGAAGUGACAGGUUAAUGUGGGAUAUCGGGGUACAUGGUGCUACAAAUGAAGAAACCUGGACUUGUUUUUAAUUUCAGUUUCACGCCCAAGCACAACAAAGAUAUCGGGUUUUAUUUGUUUGUUUUUACAGCCGCAGCAGCUAUAGCUGUUUUAUUUGCUCUGUGUGGAGGAGUAGAGAAGUGGCACGGGGGGCUGGGAGUGAGGAGCUGCGGCUAGUCUCUGGCCUGGUUAUGGUGGUGGCUAGUCCACGUGACCUCUGCUUUCAUAAGUUCUCCCCUGUUAGGCAUUCCAAGGCUGUCAUCCCCUGGGAGCACUAUAAAUUACAAUGCAUUGUGAGGAUAUUACUACUGUAUUGGUUUCCACCGAAUCAGUGUCAUAUGCUAAACACAUCAAGAUUUUUAAUAGCACCAGACUAAACCAAUUGGGACUGGAGCCCAAGCAGCUCAUAAUAAGGAGGGAUCAACACUUCACUGUGUGACUGAACAUGCGCAGGACAAACAUUUUAAGACUGGAGACUGAGGGAAUGCAAGCCAGUGUAAUCCACGUUGUCGGUUCUAGACAUUUAUGAGCUGUCAGAAAAAGGGAAAAAGAAAUUCCCUCACCAAUACUACCUGUCGAUCAGGCCCAGGAAGAAAUUAAAGCCAAGAAUAAUGACAGGAAAAUAAACCAGCCCGUGAUUCCAUCAUUGGUCUUAGCAUUUCAGAUGGAACUUAAUAAAGAGACCAACUCCCACUGCUGACAGCCUUGGGCCCUGGGUCAAAGAGCCAGCCACCUAGCUCUGGGAAGCUGGUUAAUGCUGAUGUGCACACCUGGGAACACAGUGGACAAAUCAAAUAAUUCCCAGAAAUCUGAGCUGGAGCCACUACCCAUGAGCCUGUUCUUAGAGGAAAGGCGCUGCAGGAAUGAAAGUGACCACACUGCUUUUCUGGCGGUGACGACCUACCCACACGAGAACAUGCCUCUCGCAAAGGAUCUCCUUCAUCCCUCCCCAGAAGAGGAGAAGAACACAACACAAGAAGAAACACCUGGUGCAGAGCCCCAAUUCCUACUUCAUGGAUGUGAAAUGCCCAGGAUGCUAUAAAAUCAACACGGUCUUCAGCCAUGCACAAACGGUAGUUUUGUGUGUUGGCUGCUCCACUGUCCUCUGCCAGCCUAUAGGAGGAAAAGCAAGGCUUACAGAAGGAUGUUCCUUUAGGAGGAAGCAGCACUAAAAGCACUCUGAAUCAAGAUGAGUGGGAAACUAUCUCAAUAAACACAUUUUGGAUAUUAAAAAAAAAAAAAAAAAAAAAAGAAAGUGACCACGCUGCAAAAUCACUGUUUUGACCCUCUUGGACUGAGAUGUUCUUCAAGAUGAGGAUGGUAUUUUACAAUGUUGCCUUUGAGGCAAGCUCAGAAGCUCUGCCUCUGAUACUCGCCUGCUCCCGGUGUGGCUUCAGAAAACAAAACAAACAAACAAAUAAAAAAAUAAAAAAAAAAAAAGGAAAAACAAAUUG